UGAACGCUGGCGGCAGGCCUAACACAUGCAAGUCGAACGGUAACAGGAAGCAGCUUGCUGCUUCGCUGACGAGUGGCGGACGGGUGAGUAAUGUCUGGGAAACUGCCUGAUGGAGGGGGAUAACUACUGGAAACGGUGGCUAAUACCGCAUAACGUCGCAAGACCAAAGAGGGGGACCUUCGGGCCUCUUGCCAUCAGAUGUGCCCAGAUGGGAUUAGCUUGUUGGUGAGGUAACGGCUCACCAAGGCGACGAUCCCUAGCUGGUCUGAGAGGAUGACCAGCCACACUGGAACUGAGACACGGUCCAGACUCCUACGGGAGGCAGCAGUGGGGAAUAUUGCACAAUGGGCGCAAGCCUGAUGCAGCCAUGCCGCGUGUAUGAAGAAGGCCUUCGGGUUGUAAAGUAC
rnacentral:rRNA from 1 species